GGGGGCUGCGGGUUCGUGCCCGCUGCCGCCGCCCGCUGCUUGUCAUUCCUGAGUGCUCAGCGCCGGCGCUGGGGAAUUUACCCUUAUUUGGUCGCUGGGCGACACAAAUUCCGCCCUCUCCCCCUCCCUCCCAUACGCACUCUCCUUCAGCCUCGCCCCGCUUGUGUUAGGGCUGAACGGCCGCCCCCCCCCGGGUGCGGAGACCCCCGAACUGUCAUGGCGGAACGUCCCCUACACAAACACACACGCUCCGCGCCCUCCCUCCGUGGCUGAGGGAAAGUCCCGCCGAGCCCCUUUUUAGCCCUAUUUCGGCCGAACUUGGGCUGACACUCCCCGGUCUCCGCGGGGACAGCGGGGCCGGUUUGUCCCCGAGCCAAGGGAGCCUCUUGUUGCUGCUGAGGGGCUGCUGCGGGAGGGUACCUGAGGGCAGGGAAUGGCACCGGGCUGUCCCCUCCUGUCCCAGCACCACAACUCAGGGAAUGGCACCGGGCUGGUCUAUCCCGGCAUCAGAACUCAGGGUGUAACCCACAGCUCUCCCCUGCUGUCCUGGCACCAGAACUCAGGGAAUGGCACCAGUGCGGGAUUUGGGGGCCCUGUUGCUGCGUGUUCCUGCGCGGUGACCAUUCUUGAAGCGCCUCUAAAUUCUUGUCUGUUGUGCUAAUGUGAGAUGUCGUCACGCCUACGUUUAGCAAAAGCUGUGGAGCUAUUAACUCGGAGCUAGGAAAGUGCCUUGAUGAAAAUAUAUUAAACAUGAAAACCUGCUGUGGUUUCUCCAAAUUAUUCCUCCUUGCUUUGAGACAAACACUGAAAAAUAUUCCACUUGUAGUAAGGAGGGCAAAACACCAUCCUGAGACCUUUCUUUUUUUUUUCAGGGAGUCUUAGUGAGCUGCUCCUUUUCAGUAGCUGCUUUAUAAGUGUUACUAAAAGUUUGCUGCCCUUAGACUUUACAAGGUUCUGACGUUAGAGAAAUCCGAAAGAAGUCAAUGGAAAAUGGAAACCAUCGGCUGUCCCCACCUCCGAGAGGAGCUGCUCUGUAUAUACUAUGUGCAUAUUUCUUUGAUGGGAAGGUGUCGGUUUCUCUUGUAGUUAGACCAGUGACUGAUUCAUCCCUGAACCAUCUCUUCCUGUAAUUCACUGUUACUUCAUUCAGUUGAUUGUAUUAUAUGGAGCAGGGAGAAAUGCCAGGGCAAUACAAAGAGCGGAGGUUGAUAAAUUCCAUUUCAGCUGAAAAGUUUAUGUUGUUUAUUAUUUGUAUCCUUGUGAGGACUGUCCCUUAGGAACACUAGUAAUGCACAAGAACCCUGUUUUGAUAGCUGCAGUACAAACUCAGACCUUGCUAUUUCAGAGCAAAAACAGGAUUCCUGCCCCAAAAACAUGUGUACAGAAACAAAAGAUGGAAAGAACAAAUGGAGAAAGAAAUAACACAACAAUAUUGAUUAGCACAAUAUGCAGUCUUUGCAGCAAAAUUAGUUGGAAGUGUCAUUUAAGUAUAGCUGUAAUCUAACAGGUUUUAUCAGAUUUAGAAGUGACAUUUCAUUAAUUUGGCCUAAAGCUUUUACCUAUGCUUUAUUAGCCCAGGCACAAAAUAUGAGCUCCAGACAAUACUUGUUUGGGGUUUCCUUAGCCCAAUAACUAGUCUGGCCCUGAUAUGGUUGUGCUGAUACUCAAAUGUGCUGAUAACCUGCUAAAGAGAUGUUUCCAGAGACUGGAUUGCUGCUCACCCUGAGAGCAUUUUCUCGGUCCUGUUCAUUUCAUCACUUUAAUUGUUUUGUUAUAGAAAUUUUAUGGAAAAGAUCUUGAAGGAAUGUAUGAACACACCAGUUUAAUGCCAAUGGUGUAAAUGAGACACUUCUGGCCAUUCUCAGGAAAAAUCCAAAGGUCUGUGGACUCAGACUACCAAAUAUAUCAUUCAGCCUGUUGCAGAAGUAUUUCUUUUCCAGCUGAGUAUGCAGGUGCUGUUUUCUUCUUACACAAUGAUAUGUCUAGGUCUGAGCUGUUUUUUAAGCCUUCGUUCCUAAUCAGAAGUUCACGUGAUGUUCUUCCACUGUCUCUUACUGAUGUCCUUAGAGAAAGUCCCGUCUAACGAGAGGGAGCAACCUCUAAAACCUUAUUAGACUUAUUCUCUCUUCUCAGCAGAGCUAUUACCAGCCUGCUUUUUGUCAGCAGUUUGUGAACCAACUCAUCCAUGCAGUCAUCCUCUCAUAUGGGAAGAGACACAUGAUUCUCUUUUAUGUUGCUUCAUAUGCAGUCAUGCUACAGCAGGUGAAUGGGAAAAACACAGGAGCAGAUGAAGCAGGUGGUAACUGGAACUUCACUCUGUUGCCAGGACUGUUAUAAACUCAGGCUCUAAAAUCCCCCAGCUGUGCUAAGAACGGAAGCUGUUUUGGGGAUUCACAGCUGCAGGAGGAUCAGCUUCACCCUCCUCUCAGCAAGCGGAAACGUUCGAGCCUUUGGAAUGGGAACAUGCGCGUUCCCAGCGAGCCACGAGAUGGCACCCACAGCCCCAUUCCCCGUAUCCCUGAACAUCUGCAGAAUUCCAGCCCUUCGGAGAGGUUACAGAGGAUGCAGCUCCUUCCACUUCAUCAAAGUCGGAGGAAGCCUGUGAUUAGCUGGAUGUUUACAAAUAAAAGGAGGAUCUGGAGACAGAUCAAAGAGAACUCUCCAGAUUUGGCACAGAUACCAUAUAUUGUGCUCACAGCAUCUGCACGGGUUCAACUGUUACAUGAAGUGGCUGAACUUGGUGUAUCUCAUCAUAUAUUAAAAAUGCUUUUUAAUGCUUAGUGCAUUUAUUAGAACUCUGAAGAGUCAGCCAGCUAAGGACCUGACAAAAACGAAAAAACACCACCUCCCAACUAACAAGAUCUUACAGGCUCUAUUUAAGAGAAUCACCCACUGGGUUCUUCCUCACCCUGCUUUCUGCAGUGUAAAGGGAAUCAAGAAGCAAAGCACUGUUCCAAAAUCCAAAGGCUGUAGUACUUCAGACUCAGUAAACAGGAGCAGUAGCACUCAAAGCCUGUUCUCCAGCGAUCUAAGUAGUUUGGCUGGCCCAAUCACACCAUAUAUGCUCUUCCCUGGAAAGUCUAUAGUUCAUCCAGGAUCUGAGUUACUUUGGCACAGCCCAAAUGACUGGGGAGAGAAGCAGAUGGGAGAUAAAAGAUGUGGUGUGUGAACUACACUGAGUUAAUGUAUAUCUGUUCUAAGGGACAUCUUUGUUUUGACUCUGUGUAACAAACCAACAUAGCUUGUGAGGUCUGGAAGGCCACACUAGACUAUUCCUACUCUCAUAGUAGUGCUCUGUUUGAAGUUGGUAUUUCUAUUUGGGGUCUAAAGCCACACUGAACUUGAUCAAAUAAACAUUCUCCAAAG